rnacentral:rRNA from 1 species
UACGUAGGGGGCAAGCGUUAUCCGGAAUUACUGGGUGUAAAGGGUGAGUAGGCGGCAGAUUAAGUCAUAUGUGAAACCCCGGGGCUUAACCCCGGGCGUGCAUAAGAAACUGGUUUGCUUGAGUGCAGGAGAGGUAAGCGGAAUUCCUAGUGUAGCGGUGAAAUGCGUAGAUAUUAGGAAGAACACCAGUGGCGAAGGCGGCUUACUGGACUGUAACUGACGCUGAGUCACGAAAGCGUGGGGAGCAAACAGG